rnacentral:rRNA from 1 species
CCUACGGGAGGCAGCAGUGAGGAAUAUUGGUCAAUGGGCGCGAGCCUGAACCAGCCAUGCCGCGUGCAGGAAGAUGGCUCUAUGAGUUGUAAACUGCUUUUGUACAAGGGUAAACUGGACUACGUGUAUUCAGCUGAAAGUACCGUACGAAUAAGGAUCGGCUAACUCCGUGCCAGCAGCCGCGGAUAUACGGAGGAUCCAAGAGUUAUCCUGUUUUUUUGGGUUUAAAGGGUGCGUAGGCGGAUUUAUAAGUUGGGGGUGCAAUGUCCGAGCUUAACUCAGGAACUGCCUCUAUACUGUUGAUCUAGAGAGUAGAUGCGGUAGGCGGAAUGUAUGGUGUAGCGGUGAAAUGCUUAGAGAUCAUACAGAACACCGAUUGCGAAGGCAGCUACCAAUCUAUAUCAGACGUUGAGGCACGAAAGCGUGGGGAGCAAACAGGAUUAGAUACCCUAGUAGUC